ACCCACACAGCCUCCUCCUCUUCCAUCAUGGCUCCGUCGGCAGAAAGGCAAGGAUACUGGGGGCGGCCGACCUCAACACUGGACUGGUGCGAAGAAAAUUAUGUCGUCUCUUUUUACAUCGCGGAAUUCUGCUGGACCCAGGAGAGACAUCAGUGCAGAAGAAGGUUCCUUGGACCUCUUUGUUGAAGGAGGAUCAGCAGCAAGGGAGCUGUCUUCCUGCUGUACAGAAACAGCAGCAUUGAUUCAUUGCAUUGGCUUUGCAUAGAUACAGGGAACACUGUCAGCAACCUGAUCAUGAUUCUUCCUCCCAUUUAUGGGGCCAUCCAGACGAUUCGUGAUGGCCUCGAGCUUCGCUACAUCUGCUCUUUCCUCGGACUUGCAGCUGUUGGUGUUGGUUCCUGGUGCUUCCACAUGACACUGCUAUAUGAGAUGCAGUUACUGGAUGAGUUGCCGAUGAUUUACAGUACAUGCGUCUUUGUCUACUGCCUAUACGAGUGUUUCAAACAAGAGAAGGGCAUCAGCUUAUUUCCUAUUGCAUUAUUAUUCAUCUUUAGUGUCUCAGUCACUGUGGUAUACUUACAGUGGAAGGAGCCAGUAUUUCACCAGGUCAUGUAUGGUGCUCUAGUAGCUUGCCUAGUGAUGCGAUCUAUCUUCAUUGUUACAUGGGUGUACCCAUGGCUCAGACCGCUGUGUUACACCUCCUUAGGAGUCUUUAUGUUAGGGUUCCUACUGUGGAACAUUGACAAUAUCUUCUGUGACAUAUUAAGAGCCAGAAGGCAAACACUACCCCCUGGUGUUGGAGUAGUCACACAGUUCCAUGCCUGGUGGCACAUCUUUACAGGCCUUGGAUCCUACCUGCACAUACUUCUCAGCCUGCAGAUCAGGUCAACCUACCUCAAGUACAGACCAAAUGUAAAGUUUCUUUGUGGAGUUUGGCCCACGUUGCACAUUGAACCUCAGAAGACAAGUUGAAAUGAAAUGGAAGGGGAUCAACUGAAGAAUGAUGACUGCCAUAUCCAGACACCUUCGGCACAGGGACCUGCCAGUACCAGCUGCUGAGAACUCCACACAGCUAGGGGACAGGUAGACCCCAAGAUCGAGAGGGACCCAGCUGCAGACAGAUGGCGGACAAGGGUGCCGCCAUAUAUCCAAUCCAUACCGGAAGUCCUAACUGGAAGUUGGUCUGUGUAUUAUUCGCCGAAGAGGAAGAAGACCACGGAGAAGACGAAGAGAAGAAUGCGAACAAUACACGCAUGACUAGAGAAAGAAAAGAAAGAAAGAACGAUGCACCCCUCUAUUUUGAGUGACGAAGCCAGUCUGGGGCACACGACCCUUUCACCAUCCGAGUUUGGGUGUCCUCUCUGCCCCAAAUUUAAAACCAAAAAUGAGAGCGCGAUCCAGAGGCACCUGAAAAAACAUACGGAAAAUGCAGUUCAUUUCCAUGAUUAUCAUGGAGGCAGAUGAGCCACCUGCUGUCACAGCAUACAGCUGCAGCUGUGCUGCAGGCAAAGGGUUAACCAUAUGACAGCUUUAUUACCGUAUAUCAAACAGCACAUUACCUGCAACUUGGCCUUCCAACAGUCCCACCUGCACCAGUGAACCACAGAGGUAGCAUCGGCCAAGGACCCAGGGAGUCCAUGCAGAGGCUGUGACUGACCUUGGGUAAGACUAAGGUGAGGUCCACACUGUAUCCUGCUUAUACUGGACUCCUACCAGAUUCACACAAAUGACCUCUGGAGCAAAACUGAGCCACAUCCACCCUCGCCCAUUACUGUGCCACAUCCUAGAGGGGAUGUCCACCCUAGAGAUGGUCCCCUCACAGUUUGGCCUUGUACCUUAUGGGGUUGUCAUGGAAAUGAGAGAAAGUAAUCUCGCCAUAACCGGAGAUGACUCAUUCAUUCUGGAGUUGCCACUCAGGAUCAGCGCCUAAAAUAUUUCAACAGUUGAAGAGGAGUUUUGAGUUGGGCCAAACAGUGUCGAAGGUAAGUCCUGACUAACAAACAACACUAUGGAACUGAAAAAAGCACUGUGUAAACCUAAAAGUUUGUUCAACUACUUUUUUCCCUUUAGCGACGUUCUUGGAUAGGUGGCUAAACGUCCGUUAGCUAGCAUGCUAUGACUCAAAUGAGUUUAACAUGUAAUGUCCUAACUUGCCAAUGUGGACUCACUAAUUAUGUUAGAACAACUGUCAGACGAUCGACGCUCGUAUCUAGAGGUUUUUGUUGUUUUUUUCCAAAUAUAGGUUUGACAACAAGUAAUUCUCAGGUAGUCACGAAGAAGUACUACAUUACCCAUAAUCCCAACGUCUACCAGCGGGGUCUGUGAUUGACUAAACUCUUUUUUACCCGCGAACGGUGUUUCCGUUUCCGCGAGGAGGCUCGCAUGUUGGCUAACGUCAUGACGAUUCGUAAUGCAUUUUAUGGCACAGUGAGUAUGAUUUCUUAUGCUAUAUGUACACAUACUAUAGAACAUAGAACAACACAUACUAUAACACAGUGCCAUGUAGUGUUGGGCAAAUUAAUCUUCAUGAAGCAUUGAAGCUUUUCAUCAAAUUGGUUCACUCAAGGGCAAAGCUUCUUGAUGCUUCAUUUGCUCUACUAAGCCAUCUACUGGACAAAAAAAGUUAUUACAAUUAGUGGUUUGUAUAUAUACUUUUUAAACUGAAUUGAAUAAAUCUACUCUCCAUUAUAGUAACAGUAAAGAUAUGAUGCACCUAUAUUAAUAUAGUGUGUAUUUUUAAAGAUAUAUUUUUUGGGGGCAUUUUGCCUUUAAUGGACAGGACAGGGAAGCGUGAGGGGGGUAGAGAGAGAAGGGUGGAUGACAUGCAGCAAAGGGCCACAGGCUGGAUUCGAACCCGGGCCGCUGCGGCAACAACCUUGUACAUGGGGCGCCUGCUCUACCACUAAGCCACUGACGCCCCAAUAUAGUGUGUAUUUUUUACACACUAUAUUAUUUUUGUAUUAUUGUAUUUUGUAGAUUUAAACCUUAACUUUUUGAAAUUACAAUGGUCACACUCUCCAAACUAUCCAAACUAUCCAAACUCUCAACUGUCAAAAACUGUCCUCUAUCAAAACCACCCAUUUUAAAUGAAACCUAUGGGGUUUAUAUAGCUGUCGAAUACUCGCGCCAAGAUCUGAACAACUUCCCGAACCAGUCACGUGGUACAGCCGGCCAGCGAGGCUUCGGACGUCACCAAUGACGUCACUCGUCUGAAAUGACACAAGCCUCGAUACGCGCAUCGUGGAAACACUUCCUGGAUUACUCGACACACGCUUCGAAGCCUCGGCACGGCAAGUCACAUCACUAGUGCCAUGCAUACGUUAGCAACGGCCAUCAUAAUGCCAAACGUUUAACUGUGUGACAGUUAGUGAGCAACUCUGUAUGUUGAAUCCGUGUAUGGUUCGUUCUUUCAUUAUUCCGUUUCAAAACAAAAUCAGAAAAAUAAGCAAAUGGGUCCGUUUUUCCGCCUUGAAACCAAAACGGAAAAACCAAAAAUGAAAAAACGGCGUUUUUCUGUAGGAGAACAGAGUGGAGACUAGCAGAGUCACAAGCAGCUGCAGUUUUCACAGUGGGACUGUUGAGUCACAUUAUUAAGAUUUAGAUUUCAGAAAACAACCAUGUAGAUUCCCCAUAUGCGGUUAGCUUAUCCAAAUAACGCCUGUUUGUAAAUCUGCUGCAACGUUUUCGGACAUGUGAAAAGCCGUGACCGGCUGGUGUUUCGGGUUAACAGGUGACCGGUUCAUGGACGCGCGUUGUCAUGGCAACGGCAGAAACAACUGAGCUGGCUGUCCAACAUGGCGGAGUCUGAAGCGUAAAUAACAUCAUAAACUUACCCAUCUCCAAAUAAACAUUCCACAAACAUCAUCAUUUCAUUUCCUAUACUGUUUCCCCCGUCUUCUGUCUAAAUCUAAAAAUCCAAGUUAAUAACAAACUGACACCGUUGUGGCUUAGAUCAUUUAAUUAAUUACUGAGAAGUGAAUAUAUGCACAGAACAUUUCUAAUGCUAUUUAUUUAUUCUCAACACAACAUCAGUGUUGUUUUGAGCACACUGUUCAUUGAUCAUCAGUGUCAUAAAGCAACUGCAUUGGGAACACUUAACACUCACUCCUAAAUAUAAUCUUGUGCCGCUUUGACUUUUAAUGAUAAAAUAGCAAAGACCGCUUUGAGUAGCUUGAUCUUCAUUUCUGAUCCAUCACCUAAUAAGUUCACCUUGACAAAGUGCCUCGAAUUAGACAAUAACUAGCCUCACUCUUAUGCUCUUUCUGGAUGUCACUUACGGGGAGUUUGAUGGAUGCGGAAAAGGCAGUGCCAAAAUGGCUGAUUGGUGCCAGGGACAGGGGACGCAACCGUGCCAUGAGAGCACAUGGAGGAGAGCAAAACCGGGCCGUUGGAACAGGGAGGACACAGGAGUAGUACAAGAAGACCAUCCACAUAUGCACACCCACACAACAUUCUGUGCAUUACACCGUUUUUGUUAUAUUUACAGUUGUUGAAUAAACUGUUUUCCUUAGAAAUUUGUUUGGCCUCUCUCCUUUUUUUCCCCUUUUUUACAACCAUUGACCCAAGGCUGCUAUAUUAGCUUUUUAGUCUUCUAAUCAUUGUUUUACUCUUCAGUUAGACUUCAUAAUGUAUCAUCACCCUUAUUC